rnacentral:rRNA from 2 species
ACGGGAGGCAGCAGUCGGGAAUAUUGCGCAAUGGAGGAAACUCUGACGCAGUGACGCCGCGUAUAGGAAGAAGGUUUUCGGAUUGUAAACUAUUGUCGUUAGGGAAGAUAAAAGACAGUACCUAAGGAGGAAGCUCCGGCUAACUACGUGCCAGCAGCCGCGGUAAUACGUAGGGAGCAAGCGUUAUCCGGAUUUAUUGGGUGUAAAGGGUGCGUAGACGGGAAAUUAAGUUAGUUGUGAAAUCCCUCGGCUUAACUGAGGAACUGCAACUAAAACUGGUUUUCUUGAGUGCGGGAGAGGAAAGUGGAAUUCCUAGUGUAGCGGUGAAAUGCGUAGAUAUUAGGAGGAACACCAGUGGCGAAGGCGACUUUCUGGACCGUAACUGACGUUGAGGCACGAAAGUGUGGGGAGCAAACAGGAUUAGAUACCCUGGUA